UACGUAGGGUGCGAGCGUUAAUCGGAAUUACUGGGCGUAAAGCGUGCGCAGGCGGUUUUGUAAGUCUGACGUGAAAUCCCCGGGCUCAACCUGGGAAUGGCGAUGGAUACUGGCGAGCUAGAGUGUGUCAGAGGAUGGUGGAAUUCCCGGUGUAGCGGUGAAAUGCGUAGAGAUCGGGAGGAACACCGGUGGCGAAGGCGGCAUCCUGGACCGAUAUUGACACUGAUGAGCGAAAGCUAGGGGAGCAAACGGG
rnacentral:rRNA from 1 species